rnacentral:rRNA from 1 species
CACUUCUAAGGAAGGCAGCAGGCGCGCAAAUUACCCAAUCCUGACUCAGGGAGGUAGUGACGAGAAAUAACAAUAAACCGGCUUAUGCCGGUUUAAUUGGAAUGAGUACAAUUUAAACAUCUUAACGAGGAACAAUUGGAGGGCAAGUCUGGUGCCAGCAGCCGCGGUAAUUCCAGCUCCAAUAGCGUAUACUAAAGUUGUUGCAGUUAAAAAGCUCGUAGUUGGAUUUCUGUGGGGACGGAGUGGCCGGCCGCAACACGCGGUUCGAGCUAGCGCUUUCCCUACAUCCUGCCGCGAACCGUGCUACCAUUAGUUUGGUGGCGCCGGGGAUCGGCUCGAUUACUUUGAGAAAAAUAGAGUGUUCAAAGCAGGCCACACGCCUUGAAUAAGUUAGCAUGGAAUAAUAACUAAGGACUUCGGUUCUAUUUUGUUGGUGUUCGGGACUGAAGUAAUGAUUGAUAGGGACAGUUGGGGCGGUCUGUAUUCCAAAGCGAGAGGUGAAAUUCUUAGACCUUCGGAAGACAAACAGCUGCGAAAGCGUUCCGCAAGGAUGUUCCCUUUGAUCAAGAACGAAAGUUGGGGGAUCGAAGACGAUCAGAUACCGUCGUAGUCUCAACUAUAAACUAUACCAGCUAGGGAUCGGCCAACGUUAUUCUAUACCGACUUGGUCGGCACCUUAUGAGAAAUCAAAGCAUCUGGGUUCCGGGGGGAGUAUGGUCGCAAGGCUGAAACUUAAAGGAAUUGACGGAAGGGCACCACCAGCCGUGGAGCCUGUGGCUUAAUUUGACUCAACACGGGAAAACUUACCAGGUCCAGACAUAGUAAGGAUUGACAGAUUGAUAGCUCUUUCUUGAUUCUGUGGGUGGUGGUGCAUGGCCGCUCUUAGUUGGUGGAGUGAUUUGUCUGGUUAAUUCCGUUAACGAACGAGACCCCAGCCUGCUAAAUAGCGCGUGUGAGCUUUGCUCGCAGCGAGCUUCUUAGAGGGACUAUGAUGCGCGAUAGCACAUGGAAGUUUGGGGCAAUAACAGGUCUGUGAUGCCCUUAGAUGUUCUGGGCCGCACACGGGCUACACUGGCGCCUGCAACGAGCAUAUCAGCUGGCCCGAGAGGGUCUUGGCUAAUCUUUUGAACCGGCGCCGUGCUUGGGAUUGACCUUUGCAAUUGUUGGUCAUGCAACGAGGAAUGCCUUGUAAACGCGAGUCAUCAGCUCGCAUUGAAUACGUCCCUGCCCUUUGUACACACCGCCCGUCGCUCCUACCGAUGAAUGUUCCGAUGAAAUUUUCGGAGAGUGCCUGUGAACUUGGUUCUGCCUUGCGAACGGGAAGCUCAAAGUCACUUAAAUCUGAACAUUU